rnacentral:rRNA from 1 species
UGGGGAAUAUUGCGCAAUGGGGGAAACCCUGACGCAGCGACGCCGUGUGAGGGAAGAAGGCCUUCGGGUCGUAAACCUCUGUCGGGAGGGAAGAACCGCCGGGUUCCGAACAGGGACUCGGCCUGACGGUACCUCCGAAGGAAGCGCCGGCUAACUCCGUGCCAGCAGCCGCGGUAAUACGGAGGGCGCGAGCGUUAAUCGGAAUCACUGGGCGUAAAGCGCGCGUAGGCGGCCAGAUAAGUCGGGCGUGAAAGCCCUCGGCUCAACCGAGGAACUGCGUUCGAUACUGUUUGGCUUGAGUCCUGGAGGGUGGCGGAAUUCCGGGUGUAGGAGUGAAAUCCGUAGAUAUCCGGAGGAACACCGAUGGCGAAGGCGGCCACCUGGACAGGUACUGACGCUGAGGUGCGAAAGCGUGGGGAGCAAACAG